CUUACAAAAUUAGACGCGCUGCCCGCUUCUCUUGCUAUUUUGACGCGUGCGUGCUUGGCAUAAGCAUGUUCUCUGUGGAGUUACCUUGAUCUUACUACAGCUUCCUCUGUUGUCGUCUGUGACUUGCUCCUCUAUUUUCUUCGUCUAUUCUGUAUCCUGUAUACCUGUGCCUUAUCUCCAAUUCUUGCUAUAAAUUCCCAACUUGAUUUGUUCUACCCACAACACACUCAGUUUCUUGGAGUUUCCUGCCUUAUCCUUAAAAGGGACCCUGUUAUGCAUUCAUUGGACAUCACAUAGAUACACAACCACUGGUUCAUCCAAAUGACAUGAGAAAAGCAUAAGAAUGAACAAGUUGAUGGGAGAAAUUGGCGUCUUCUUAGAGUCUCUGGAAACCUUUUAGCUUCCUCACAUUUUAAUGGAAUGCUAACCACAUGCGACCUGGUUCUCGACCUUCAUAUGAAUUUUAUACGAGUCUUUCUAACUGCUGCAAAAUUUUCUUUUCUCGGAUUUUUUUAGCUCAUUUAGUGCUAUAAGAGUACUUUUGAGAUUUUUACUAAAAUUUUAUUGUUGCAACAGUUUAUUUGUAUCAUCAGGUGUUACUGCAAAGCCAUAUGAUUUUUGGGUAACAUAUGGAUUACAGAGAGCAGGAUUAAAAAGAAUAAGAUUUCUGUUGCAA